rnacentral:misc_RNA from 1 species
GUGCGCCAUUGCCUUUACCCACACGACGCGUGGUGCUUGAGGAGAAGGACGCAUCACCGUCUUUGCCUCUCAUCAGCAGCAUCGUUCCGACAGCACGUUUUACCAAAUCUUACUCGCGCCAGCCUGUGCUCGAGAAGGCGGUGUGCCAUCGGUGACUCCUGCACAUCUUUCGCGUCUGCCUCUCGAAGCGCGUGGGGACGGGGAGGGGGGGGGGAAGCGAAGGCGACAAAAAAGAAGGAUGCUUCACUGCUCUUUGUGGUUGUGCCGGCCGGCGACGCCGUUUGCCACGAGCACCUCUUUGCUUGCUUCUCGCGCCAGCCAUGGGCGGCCGCGCACGUGGAAGCAGCCAGAUAUUCGGCAGCUCCGCAACGCCCCCACACUGCAUCGCGUUCACGGAAUACUGCAGCUCGCACAACGCAGCCUGCCAGACCCGGCGAGCCACCGGCAGGGCCACACAUAUGUGGCCAACGCGCAAGGGUCGCUGCUGUCGCGUCCUGGUGGGCGCGUCUCGCGCUUGUCAGACCCGGGUGCCACGUUCCACUACAAGAGACGCGCAGGGCGGCCACCGCGGAUAAACACGCAGGCGUUUCGUAAGCACUAUAACUCAUCCUAGGGGUUUUAGCAUGCGUGUCUGUGUGCUGUCGGGCUCGCAUCUGCCAACUAGCGCUGUGGUGUGUGCGUACCCUCCCCCUUUCCCUCCCUCGUGUGCGCUCUGACGCUUCUCACAGAUCGUUCGCGCCUGCAUCCGCACAUGCUUCUCUGACGCCUGCACUGCUUCCUCGGCGCACCGCCGCGCUGCCAAACGCGAGUUCUCUAUCGACGGAAGAAGCGAAAGGGCAGCAUGCCACGCGCAACG